rnacentral:rRNA from 1 species
UAGGGAAUAUUGGGCAAUGGGCGAGAGCCUGACCCAGCCAUGCCGCGUGCAGGAAGAAGGCUUUCUGAGUCGUAAACUGCUUUUGACAGGGAAGAAUAAGUACUACGUGUAGUACGAUGACGGUACCUGCAGAAUAAGCACCGGCUAACUCCGUGCCAGCAGCCGCGGUAAUACGGAGGGUGCGAGCGUUGUCCGGAUUUAUUGGGUUUAAAGGGUGCGUAGGCGGUCCAUUAAGUCUGGGGUGAAAGCCCGCUGCUCAACAGCGGAACUGCCCUGGAUACUGGCGGACUUGAGUACAGACGAGGUUGGCGGAAUGGACUGAGUAGCGGUGAAAUGCAUAGAUACAGUCCAGAACCCCGAUUGCGAAGGCAGCUGACUAGGCUGUUACUGACGCUGAGGCACGAAAGCGUGGGGAGCGAACAGG